rnacentral:ncRNA from 2 species
AGUCGGUACCGGGGGUGCCCGCGAGGGCUGAGAAGCGCGGCAGCCGCAACGGCUGCAGGGGCGCUACCCUUCGGACUCGAUCCGGGUCAUACCGGCGUGAGGAAGGUACCGCAUGGCCGCC